rnacentral:rRNA from 1 species
UGCAGUCGAGGGGUAACAGGGAGCUUGCUCCGCUGACGACCGGCGCACGGGUGCGUAACGCGUAUAGAAUCUACCUUACACUGAGGGAUAGCCUUUGGGAACGAAGAUUAAUACCUCAUAGUAUCAUUUUUUGGCAUCAUUAAAUGAUUAAAGGUUACGGUGUAAGAUGACUAUGCGUCCUAUUAGCUUGAUGGUAAGGUAACGGCUUACCAUGGCUACGAUAGGUAGGGGCCCUGAGAGGGGGAUCCCCCACACUGGUACUGAGACACGGACCAGACUCCUACGGGAGGCAGCAGUGAGGAAUAUUGGACAAUGGAGGCAACUCUGAUCCAGCCAUGCCGCGUGAAGGAUGACUGCCCUAUGGGUUGUAAACUUCUUUUAUACAGGAAGAAACGGUUUCACGUGUGAGACUUUGACGGUACUGUAUGAAUAAGCACCGGCUAACUCCGUGCCAGCAGCCGCGGUAAUACGGAGGGUGCAAGCGUUAUCCGGAAUCAUUGGGUUUAAAGGGUCCGUAGGCGGACUAAUAAGUCAGAGGUGAAAUCCCGCAGCUCAACUGUGGAACUGCCUUUGAAACUGUUAGUCUUGAGUUAUUGUGAAGUGGUUAGAAUAUGUAGUGUAGCGGUGAAAUGCUUAGAGAUUACAUGGAAUACCGAUUGCGAAGGCAGAUCACUAACAAUAUACUGACGCUGAUGGACGAAAGCGUG